ensembl:lncRNA
GUGAGUAUUCAAGCUUCCUAUUCUUCGCUCUUUUUGAGCAUGUGUGGCUAUUUUAAACCUGAGAAGAAUCCUGGAGUAGUGAAUUUUUAAUCAUUUCUAAUUUUUUCUGGAGAUUGAAUUCCUGGAUGGGGGAUUCCCAGCCAAGCAGCCGUGCCUUGGCUGGGAAUCUGUGAGGGCAUCACCUGGCCAGGCUCUUGGGGCUUCUGAGUUUGUCCUUCUUGGCACUCACUCUUGUCCUUUACCAUCCUUACAUGUGAAUAACAGGUCUUCUAUUUGUCUCUUUGCUUAGCCUGGAGGUCAUUUCUGAGCCUUUGAACCCAUAGGAGUCAUUGUCAUCUACCUGAGCUGCAAGUCAGGAAGGCAGCUGCCUUCACACAUAGGCCGGCUGGGCCCAUCCCGCAGCACAGUCAGCAGCUGCCCAGGGACAGGACCCCUCACAAUGUUCAGCCACUUGUCACCUCGGGAGGAGCAGGAGCUGGAACUUGACUGUUCAGACUCAGGGCUCCUGGGAGGUGUGAGAGAGUGCUGCAGUGACUCCUCACCCUUGGAGAGACAGUUAAUCAGGAG